rnacentral:rRNA from 1 species
GGACUAUCGGCUCAAGCCGAUGGAAGUUUGAGGCAAUAACAGGUUGGCACACAGGCCUGUAAAAGUAGGUUUUGACCUGCUAGUCUAGCACCUAAUCUCCGUGAAGAAGUCUUCUUCUACCGGGCGGAGAGAUGCGAAAGCAUUCGGUGUGGGCAACACUACCUGGAACAGGGGACGCUGGAGGCCUUUGGGUACUUGGCCGACCCUGUGGCGAGCUCGAGUAACGUUGAGCCGUCGCAACGCGCGC